AAGAAAAGUAGAGAAAAAAAAAAAAAAAGAGAAAAAGAAGAGAAAGUGACUCAAGAAGAAGAUAUGGGGGUGUGUGUGUUUUUACUGGGCAUUCCAAGCUCAUGGCAUGUCAUGCCAGGUGAGGAAAUAGUUUACGAUGGUGAAAGUUUUCCCGAAGGCAACCAAGAUGAAAUGUUGGAGCCGUGGUUCACUUGAAGACUUAGACUAGUAGUUUUAUUUUUUUAUUUUUUUGACUUUUUAGCGUGACGAUGUUUGUAAUCCUAUUGCAGAACACAAAUGAAUGAACUAUGGUAUUAACUUUGCUUAUAUGUGUAUAUUAAGAUAUUUUGGUUA